CCCUUAGAUGUUCUGGGCUGCACGCGCGCUACACUGAUACUUUCAGCGAGUCCACCACCUUGCCUGAGAGGGUGGGGUAACCUCUGGAAAGUGUAUCGUGAUGGGGAUCGAUUAUUGUAAUUAUUAAUCUUCAACGAGGAAUUCCUAGUAAGCAUGUGUCAUCAGCCCGUGCUGAUUACGUCCCUGCCCUUUGUACACACCGCCCGUCGCUACUACUGAUUGGGUGUUCAAGUGAGAUGCUUAGACCCUUGUUGCAUGGUUCAUUAUUGUGCUCCGAAAGGAAAAAGUUUCAAGCUUGAGUGUCUAGAGGAAGUAAAAGUCGUAACA
rnacentral:rRNA from 1 species